rnacentral:rRNA from 1 species
CUUGACACCCAGAGAAUUUAGCAGAGAUGCUUUAGUGCCUUCGGGAACUCUGAGACAGGUGCUGCAUGGCUGUCGUCAGCUCGUGUUGUGAAAUUGUUGGGUUAAGUCCCGCAACGAGCGCAACCCUUAUCCUUUGUUGCCAGCACGUAAUGGUGGGAACUCAAAGGAGACUGCCGGUGAUAAACCGGAGGAAGGUGGGGAUGACGUCAAGUCAUCAUGGCCCUUACGAGUAGGGCUACACACGUGCUACAAUGGCGUAUACAAAGAGAAGCGACCUCGCGAGAGCAAGCGGACCUCAUAAAGUGCGUCGUAGUCCGGAUUGGAGUCUGCAACUCGACUCCAUGAAGUCGGAAUCGCUAGUAAUCGUAAAUCAGAAUGUUACGGUGAAUACGUUCCCGGGCCUUGUACACACCGCCCGUCACACCAUGGGAGUGGGUUGCAAAAGAAGUAGAUAGCUUAACCUUCGGGAGGGCGUUUACCACUUUGUGAUUCAUGACUGGGGUGAAGUCGUAACAAGGUAGGCGUAGUGCU